UUCUGUAGAACUACAUAUAGUUUUGUUUGACGCACACGCUGUCCACAAUAAUUUUUGCCAGGAUUGUCUGAGAUUAUCACGUAUUUCAAACCGUCCGAUUCCAUGCAUUUAAGAGUCGAACCUAUGAUAAAAAUGCUUGUUUGUUUAGCAAAGGAGGCAAGCAAUUAGUAAAUCGGGUUAUUUUUAGCGUUUUUUUAACUUUUGGACAAUGUUAAGUGCCACUAUCACAUUACAUGUCAAGUGGCUUUUUUACGUAUAUCAGGAUUUAUAUACAAUUACAACUUAGGCUGCAACUCUAAAAAGCAAUAUUUUCGUGUAAAAAAUUAUUGUACAUUAUGGAGAACGACGAUGUCUCAGUACUUAGUCAAACAGUGCAAAAUGUUCAGC